rnacentral:rRNA from 1 species
AUUGAACGCUGGCGGCAGGCCUAACACAUGCAAGUCGAGCGAGCGGCGGACGGGUGAGUAAUGUCUGGGAAACUGCCCGAUGGAGGGGGAUAACUACUGGAAACGGUAGCUAAUACCGCAUACUAUCGGAUGAACCCAUAUGGGAUUAGCUAGUAGGUGGGGUAAUGGCUCACCUAGGCGACGAUCCCUAGCUGGUCUGAGAGGAUGACCAGCCACACUGGGACUGAGACACGGUCCAGACUCCUACGGGAGGCAGCAGUGGGGAAUAUUGCACAAUGGGCGCAAGCCUGAUGCAGCCAUGCCGCGUGUAUGAAGAAGGCCUUAGGGUUGUAAAGUACUUUCAGCGGGGAGGCGUUACCCGCAGAAGAAGCACCGACUAACUCCGUGCCAGCAGCCGCGGUAAUUC